rnacentral:rRNA from 1 species
UACGUAGGGUGCAAGCGUUAAUCGGAAUUACUGGGCGCAAAGCGUGCGCAGGCGGUUCGGUCAGAAAGAUGUGAAAUCCCAGGGCUUAACCUUGGAACUGCAUUUUUAACUGCCGGGCUAGAGUAUGUCAGAGGGGGGUAGAAUUCCACGUGUAGCAGUGAAAUGCGUAGAGAUGUGGAGGAAUACCGAUGGCGAAGGCAGCCCCCUGGGAUAAUACUGACGCUCAUGCACGAAAGCGUGGGGAGCAAACAGG